AAAGUCGUAACAAGGUAUCCGUAGGUGAACCUGCGGAUGGAUCAUUACUGUAAACCGAGGCGGCUUCUCUUUCGGGAGAGCCCAACCCUCACCACACUUUGUGAACUGUUUCCUGUCUCUGGCGGGCGGUCUUUUUUUGAAAAGAGUCCAAAUGCCGGGGGGUUUUACACACCUCUCGUUGGCACGCGGCCUCUCGGAAAAGAAGAUCCAAACCCGCCGCUGGGUUUUCGGACCCAGUAUUUGUUUAACUCUAAAGCUUAACCAACCAGUCUGAAACAACGUUUAUACUUUAAAAUGUAUUAACAACUUUUGACAACGGAUCUCUUGGCUCUC
rnacentral:misc_RNA from 1 species